ACGCGAAGAACCUUACCUGGUCUUGACAUCCACAGAACUUUUCAGAGAUGAGAAUGUGCCUUCGGGAACUGUGAGACAGGUGCUGCAUGGCUGUCGUCAGCUCGUGUUGUGAAAUGUUGGGUUAAGUCCCGCAACGAGCGCAACCCUUAUCCUUUGUUGCCAGCGGUCCGGCCGGGAACUCAAAGGAGACUGCCAGUGAUAAACUGGAGGAAGGUGGGGAUGACGUCAAGUCAUCAUGGCCCUUACGACCAGGGCUACACACGUGCUACAAUGGCGCAUACAAAGAGAAGCGACCUCGCGAGAGCAAGCGGACCUCAUAAAGUGCGUCGUAGUCCGGAUUGGAGUCUGCAACUCGACUCCAUGAAGUCGGAAUCGC
rnacentral:rRNA from 1 species